CGUUACGUCYGCUAUCAUGCAAGUCGAGCGGAUGAUGGGAGCUUGCUCCUGGAUUCAGCGGCGGACGGGUGAGUAAUGCCUAGGAAUCUGCCUGGUAGUGGGGGACAACGUUUCGAAAGGAACGCUAAUACCGCAUACGUCCUACGGGAGAAAGCAGGGGACCUUCGGGCCUUGCGCUAUCAGAUGAGCCUAGGUCGGAUUAGCUAGUUGGUGGGGUAAAGGCCUACCAAGGCGACGAUCCGUAACUGGUCUGAGAGGAUGAUCAGUCACACUGGAACUGAGACACGGUCCAGACUCCUACGGGAGGCAGCAGUGGGGAAUAUUGGACAAUGGGCGAAAGCCUGAUCCAGCCAUGCCGCGUGUGUGAAGAAGGUCUUCGGAUUGUAAAGCACUUUAAGUUGGGAGGAAGGGCAGUAAGUUAAUACCUUGCUGUUUUGACGUUACCAACAGAAUAAGCACCGGCUAACUUCGUGCCAGCAGCCGCGGUAAUACGAAGGGUGCAAGCGUUAAUCGGAAUUACUGGGCGUAAAGCGCGCGUAGGUGGUUUGG
rnacentral:rRNA from 1 species